AUGUGAUCGUCUCUCGCAUAUCAAUAAGCGGAGGAAAAGAAACUAACAAGGAUUCCCCUAGUAACGGCGAGUGAAGCGGGAAGAGCUCAAAUUUGAAAUCUUAAAGGGUUUCCCUUUACGAAUUGUAGUUUAAAGAAGUGUUUUCUGUUGAGGUUUUGGUAAAAGUUCUUUGGAAUAGGACAUCAUAGAGGGUGAGAAUCCCGUAUUUGACCUUUACUUUCAACUUUGUGAUACACUUUCAAAGAGUCGGAUUGUUUGGGAAUGCAGUCCAAAAUGGGUGGUAAAUUUCAUCUAAAGCUAAAUAUUGGCGAGAGACCGAUAGCGAACAAGUACCGUGAGGGAAAGAUGAAAAGAACUUUGAAAAGAGAGUUAAACAGUACGUGAAAUUGUCAAAAGGGAAGCGUUUGACACCAGUGUUGUUUUUCUGAAAAUCAAUUAAAGAACUGUUUAUGCUAAGUUGUUUAGACUUUAUCAGCUAACUGUUUAGUUUUGAGCUUUUCUUUAAUGCACUUUUCAGUUAACAAGUCAACAUCAAUUUCUUUUGCUGUAAAAAAGCUUGAGGAAGGUGGCUUGAGAUUCGUCCUUAAGUGUUUAUAGCCUCUUGCCUAUGCAGUCGGAGAGAUUGAGGUCUGCAGCGUAGAUCCUUCGGGGCUAAAUGCAUUUGUGCUAAGUUAUAGCAUUUUAUAGACAACUUGUUGACUAUGAUUUGUCUUGUAGCUUACUCGCUUAUGUUAUUUUACCUACGCUUAGGAUGUUGAGUCAUCACACAUCUCU
rnacentral:rRNA from 1 species